rnacentral:rRNA from 1 species
GAUGAACGCUGGCGGCGUGCCUAAUACAUGCAAGUCGAGCGAACAGACGAGGAGCUUGCUCCUCUGACGUUAGCGGCGGACGGGUGAGUAACACGUGUAUAACCUACCUAUAAGACUGGGAUAACUUCGGGAAACCGGAGCUAAUACCGGAUAAUAUAUUGAACCGCAUGGUUCAAUAGUUAAAGACGGUAUUGCUGUCACUUAUAGAUGGAUCCGCGCCGCAUUCGCUAGUUGGUAAGGUAACGGCUUACCAAGGCAACGAUGCGUAGACGACCUGAGAGGGUGACCGGACACACUGGAACUGAGACACGGUCCAGACUCCUACGAGAGGCAGCAGUAGGGAAUCUUCCGGCAGGGGCGAAAGCCUGACGGAGCAACGCCGCGUGAGUGAUGAACGUCUUCGGAUCGUAAAACUCUGUUAUUAGGGAAGAACAAAUGUGUAAGUAACUAUGCACGUCUUGACGGUACCUAAUCAGAAAGCCACGGCUAACUACGUG